AGAGUUUGAUCCUGGCUCAGAUUGAACGCUGGCGGAAUGCUUUACACAUGCAAGUCGAACGGCAGCACGGACUUCGGUCUGGUGGCGAGUGGCGAACGGGUGAGUAAUAUAUCGGAACGUGCCCAGUCGUGGGGGAUAACGUAGUGAAAAUUACGCUAAUACCGCAUACGAUCUAAGGAUGAAAGCGGGGGAUCGCAAGACCUCGCGCGAUUGGAGCGGCCGAUAUCAGAUUAGGUAGUUGGUGAGGUAAAGGCUCACCAAGCCAACGAUCUGUAGCUGGUCUGAGAGGACGACCAGCCACACUGGAACUGAGACACGGUCCAGACUCCUACGGGAGGCAGCAGUGGGGAAUUUUGGACAAUGGACGCAAGUCUGAUCCAGCCAUUCCGCGUGCAGGACGAAGGCCUUCGGGUUGUAAACUGCUUUUGUACAGAACGAAAAGGUCUCUAUUAAUACUAGGGGCUCAUGACGGUACUGUAAGAAUAAGCACCGGCUAACUACGUGCCAGCAGCCGCGGUAAUACGUAGGGUGCAAGCGUUAAUCGGAAUUACUGGGCGUAAAGCGUGCGCAGGCGGUUAUAUAAGACAGAUGUGAAAUCCCCGGGCUCAACCUGGGAACUGCAUUUGUGACUGUAUAGCUGGAGUGCGGCAGAGGGGGAUGGAAUUCCGCGUGUAGCAGUGAAAUGCGUAGAUAUGCGGAGGAACACCGAUGGCGAAGGCAAUCCCCUGGGCCUGCACUGACGCUCAUGCACGAAAGCGUGGGGAGCAAACAGGAUUAGAUACCCUGGUAGUCCACGCCCUAAACGAUGUCAACUGGUUGUUGGGUCUUCACUGACUCAGUAACGA
rnacentral:rRNA from 1 species